AUCAUCCACUUUCUUUCUUUCUUACUCUCUUUCUUUCUUUCUUUCUUUCUUUCUUCCUUUCUUUUUUUUUUUUAUCGAGCAAGUAAGCAAGUAUUGUGAAACUGUGACUGCAUCUUAACUGGCCAGUGGGAGGUAGAUCGGGCUGCACCUGGGAGGAACUGAGAAUGAGAUUUGUCCUCCAAAAUAAAGCUGGGGCUGGAAUUUCACUGGUGAACAAUGAAGAUAUGGCCCUUUUACCCACAGACCAUGAGGAGGUAAUUAAUAGUGGAGGCAUGCUAUUGCUUAACCAUUGCAUCCCUUCCACAAGAAACAAUUUAAAGAAGUGAUUUGAAUGAAACUGACCAAUUGCUUAUAGCAAACACAGUUAAAAGAAGACCCAAACUGUGGACCUUGGCGACUGGGCCAGGAUGGAACUUCCUUUCUUCUAAGUGCGACAUCAUCCUGGAGCCGAGUGAAAUGAGCGACGAGGCAAGUGAGACCGGACAAAGAUACAACGGUCAACCCAUUUUAAAGCGCCAGAAACCCAUCCUACCUUACAUAUGUUCCACUCUAGAUUUUCAAGAAGAGAGAGACUUUUUGGCCAAAAGCAUCUUCCCUCGGCUUAAUGACAUCUGCAGCUCCCGGGGCACCUACUUCAAAGCUGUGGACUUGAGAUGGUCAGCUGUGAAGGCCCAUAAGUCCUUCACCAGCAACCAGUUCCGACAGUACUCCUGUCUCCAGUCUCAACACCUGAAACUCUCCCUGGACUACGUGAACAGAUGCUUCCCGUUUUUCAUCGGCCUGCUGGGGCAGACCUACGGAGAUUUCCUCCCCGACUACACACCUUUCCUGUUAUCCCAAGUGAAGGACUUCGAAAGUUUAUCCAAGGGAGAACAGAAUCUAUACAUUGCUGCCAAAAAUGGUUACCCUUGGGUUCUCAAGACUCCCAACUGCAGCCUGACAGAGUUCGAGAUCAUCCAAGCAGUAUUCCGGAAGAAAUCUCAAUUUCAAUUUUUCUACUUCCGGACAUCAAAUUCGCUGCUGCGAACUUUUAAUGAGGAAGAGGAGGAGGAAGAGGAGAAGCUGUCCUCAGCAUAUCUGUUGAACGAACAGGGGAAGAUGAAGGUUGGAAAGCUCAAGGCUAAGAUCAUUGGCAAAGGGCUUCCUGUCAGAUUCUACAGAGACCUGGAGGAACUGGGGGAUAUGGUUUGGAAGGACUGGUCGGCUGUUGUGGAAAAGCUCUAUCCAUUCACUACGAUCAUGGGAAAUAUAGACUACAAACACAGUUUCGAGAAUUUGUAUCAUGAAGAGUUUGUGGAGAACUGCAAGCAAGUUUUUGUUACUUCCAAGGAGUCAAACAGAACCUUUGAAAUAUUGGAAAGAUUUGCUAUAAAAGAUCUUGAUCUUGAUCUUGAUACUGACAGUACUAUAGCAGGUUCGGGGUUAGACUCCAUUCUCAGAAUCAAUUCCCUUCCAACUUGUAAGUCCAUUUUGCUCUUGUCUGGGGAACGCGGCUGUGGGAAGUCCACACUGAUUGCCAACUGGGUCAGUAAUUUCCAAAGCAAACACCCCGGAGUGCUGAUGAUCCCAUACUUUGUGGGCAGUACGUGUGAGAGCUGUGACAUCAUGUCUGUGAUCCACUACUUCGUCAUGGAGCUUCAGCACAGAGCCAACGGUCCCCGGCUUGAAAUGGAUUUCCUUAACGAGGACUCAAAUGUCUUGGUCUUUUCACUUCUCGUAGAAGUGUUCAUAGCCGCCAUAAGCUUAAAGCCAUGCAUCCUGGUACUAGACGGGAUCGAAGAGCUGAUCGGUAUCUAUGGGAUUUCAGGUCAGAAGGCGAAAGAUUUCUCCUGGCUGCCGCGCUCCCUGCCUCCUCACUGUAAAUUCAUUCUGAGCAGCGUCUCCUCCAGUCUGUCCUGCAAGUCGCUGUGUGCCCGCCCUGACGUGAAGAUCGUGGAACUCAACAGCAUCGGGGACGAAGACACCAAGUUCAACAUCUUCAGACAGCACCUCUCCCCUGCCGACCAAGAACGCUUCGGGCAGAGCAAGCCCAUUUUGAGGAAGAAACCAAACCUGAGCCCUCUGAAGCUCGCAAUCAUCGCCAGCGAGCUGCAGGAGUGCAAAAUCUACCGCAAUGAGUUCCAGUGUCUCCGGGAGUACUUGGAGGUUGCCUCUGUGCAGGAGCUCUGGGAGUUGAUUCUGAAGCGCUGGGUUGAAGAUUAUAGUUGGACUUUGAAGCCUAAAGACACAACUCUAGACACCGUGAUUCCAGGUGUGUGAUAGCUGAUCCUAAAAGUGCCUCCUUUAUGGCUCCAAGACUUGUUUGUCCCAGUUUCUCGGUUGUUCUGUUUCUGCUGCCCCCUGCUGGUGCAGUCCCUCAUCCUCACCAAGGACAAUCUUGUUUUGUUUCCACAGGGUCUCUCUAUGUAGUUCUGGCUAGAACUUGCUUAUGUAGACCAGGCUGGACUCAAACUCACACAGCUCCAUCUGCUUCUGCCUCCCGAGUUCUGGGACUAAAAGGGUGUGCUAUAUACCUUGGCUCUCCUGGCACCUUGAUGCCUGAUUUCCUCUUCAACUUUCUCCUAGACCUUUCUCAGUUUAGUAACAGCUCUUUCCUUCCUAGUUGGGGUAAAACAAACAAACAAACAAACAAACAAACAAACAAACAACAUCGUUAGCUCAUCUUGUGAGUCUAUUGUUUGUGGUGAACAAUUUUUCUUUUUUUUUUUUUUUUUUUUUUUUUUUUUUUUUUUUUUUUUGGCCUUGGUUCUGCUUUAUUGUCCUUAGAGCACCCUUUGGAUACAGUUUUAAAAAAUAAACCACAUACAUAGUAGGAACUGAGUCCAGGCUGAUGCCCCGUAUCUCCAGAAAAAUCCCAACCCAAGAAUGUUUAUACAAAAUGUCAGAGGGGAAAACCAUGAGGCAGCAUGGUGCUGAGCUGAGGGGUGGCCAGUUGGCAGAGGAGCGGGCGGUCAGUGACGGAGCAGCCAGGUCACGCCUCCUUCUCAUAAGUCCGAGUGCUCACCACACUGCCAUGAGUGAGAGUCAGGAUGAGUUUCCUGUCAACUAGCUCCCUAGUUAGUGUUGUCUCCUGCCCAUUCCACUUCUGCACAUGGAUGAGUUUGCCUCCGUCCAGCGUCACCAGUGACUUGACCUUCCGGUCAUCUGCUGUCACCUCGUCGAACUCUAUUCCCAGCUGAAAGUUGAUCUCUGUGUUCUUGAAGGUACUUUGUGUCUUUAUGGUGAUAGUAUCCCCGUUCUUCUCGAUGAUGGUAGUAGGCUUGGUCAUGCUAGCCACCUGCCUGGUGGCAAAGCCCACACCGAGUGACUUCAUGUAGUCAUCAAAAUUCUUGCAGUCCACUAGCUUCCAGGUACCGACAAAGGCGUCCGCCAUGGUGCGAUGAGUGAGGAGGCGGGCAGGCACUGAGAACCGCAGCUCCCGGCUGGACAGCCUCUUUAAAUAGCCCUCGCAUCACAUGAUGAAAGUGGCCCACACCCCUCGCUCCCGAAAUGUGAACAAUUUUUCUACGGUGUGUUUACAACAGUCAAGAAGCAGGCUGUUGAAAGCUUUUAUUCUCUCCAGCCACUGUCUGUGCAGUAGGCCUCUGAUAUCUGAUUUGAAGCUUGCUUUCCUCGUUUUGUCUUUUCUGCAUCUCAGUCUCCUUUCAGAACACGGAAACCUAGAUUGGAAUGCAGUUGGAGAGGUGGAAGAAUACAGGGCACAUUGAUUACUGUGGUACUACAUUGUCCCUCACAGUUUUCUGCUCUACCGUUUGCAUUUCUAUCAGGAAAGUGGAUUUUAAGGUGGAAGUGAGGUCCCCUAGAAGAGUUGCAAAGGCCAUUGAUCCAUUCUAUCUAACUACACCCCCAGGACUGCACAGGAAAGCCCUCGGCUCCUUCCUGCAAUGGCGGCUGCUUCUCCAGCACUGGCCCGCAGUCCUGAUGGGUCUAGGGAGCUCCAAAGCCAUGGGGCUAGGAAGAGCUGGGUAGAGCUCAGUCCCGUUUAGGGGGAGCUUCAUCACCUUGGCUUCAGAUGUGCCUUUAAUUGAAGGCUGUAGGUAGUGUGGACCACUUCAGUUCACGAGCGGCAGGGGACCAUGAUGCCUGUCUUCGCUGUGGUCAGAAGGAUCUCUCUAGCUGGCAGAUCUUAAAGCCAGUGAUAGGACAGAAGCUUAAGGGCCCUUGGAUGGUGUUUGAGUGAGUGGCCCUUCUCCAAGAGAAGCUCCUGACCUAGCAAACUGCACUGGGCAGAUUGCUUCGCGUGGAGACCAGGAAGCCUGCCCAUUUGUCCCCGGUGUUAGAUAUGACUGUCAAUGGUGGGUGACACCUUGGGUUCUGAAGGCAAACUGAAUUCAGAUCCCCUCUCAGCACUUUCUUCUGAGUGACUUUGGGUAAGUUAUUCAACCUGCCUGCACCCCUUCCUUUGGAAGACUGGGGCCAUUACAGUACUUACCUGGAUGGAGGAGGGAGGGUGUUUCCUGGUGUAGUGGACCCCCUACUUCCACUGACGCGCUCUCUUUCGUUCUGUCCUCCCACCCCACCCCCUCUGCGGCUGCCUAGGGCCAAGUGGCUGGGUAGUGGAUGUGCUGUGCUUGCUCUGCAUCUCUCACUGCGGGCUGGCUGAGGAUGAACUGCUCCAGCUUUUGGACACGAUGGGCUACAGGGACCACCACAAAGUGACGGCGGUGCACUGGGCAGCCUUCCGCCAAGCCACCAAAACCUGGAUCCAGGAGAAGCCCAAUGGUCUCCUCUACUUCCAGCACCAGUCCCUAAGGAGUGCCGUGGAGCACAAGCUGCUGGGUGUAAGCACUCCGGUGAGAGAGAGCAAUCCCAAUGUGGCCCAGAACAGCGUGAAUCACAAGAAGGCACAUUUCCACCAGGUCUUGAUGAGGUUCUUCCAGCGGCAAACCAUCUUCUGGAGGGUGUAUCAGGAGCUGCCCUGGCACAUGAAGAUGAGCGGGUAUUGGGAAGGUCUAUGUAACUUCAUCACGAACCCCAGCAUCACAGAUUUCAUAUCGAAAAUCCAAAACCCAAGCUUGUGGACCAGGCUGCACCUUGUCCACUACUGGGAUGUGCUGCUGGAAGCCGGCAAUGACGUGUCUGAGGCUUUUCUGCUCUCUGUUGCCAAGAUAGAAGGGGAACAAUUCCAGAAACUCAAGAAGCGAACCACACUCUCAGUGCUGGAAUGCAGCCUGUCCGAGAUUACUGCUGCUGAUAAAGGCAGAAUUAUCCUCUUUAUUGGAAGUUUCCUGAAGCUAAUGGGCAAGAUCAAUGAAGCUGAAAAGCUGUUCUUGAGCGCUGAGGACUUGUUACUACAGAGUUUUUAGGAUCAAAGCCUGGUGGUCCCUGGCAGCCCCUAACAAGCUAGGUUCAGCUACUCAUCCUCAGUGUGCUGAUUAAUGAGACAACAAAUACUAAGAAACAGUAAGAGACAGAGAUAGGAGACUCCUCCAGUGUGCCCGCCCAUCCUGGGAGAGGAGACAUUGAGAGAGAGGCCCAGUCAUGUCAAGUUCCUCUCUGGGGUCCUGACAUGAGGCUUAGGUUUACAGAGAGAGCACAAGACAUUCCUAAGCAGUCCUAGAGCCCAUCCAUGACAGAAAUGCUGCUCAGAGCUCAGAAUGCCAUUGGGGAAUUAUAUCUUGAGAUUGGGAUGACUCCGAAAGGACUCACAUAUUUUCAGAAAGCUUGGUCAAAUCUGCUGCGGUUUACACUCAGCGACCUAAAGAUCAGCCAGGAAUUGAUGAAGCAGAAAGUUAAAGUGAUGAAUAACCUGGCAAAAUCGGCGCCUGGGGAAUUCUUAAAAGAAAACCACGUUCUGGAAUAUGCUACCGAAAUCUCCAAGUACGUGACUGGUAAUCCCCGUGAUCAUGCUACCAUGAAAUAUACUGAAGGUGUUCUCAUGUUGGCUUCCGGAAACGCAGCCCUGGCAAAACUCAAGUUUCAAGAGUGUUUAACUAUCAGAAGAUGGCUAUUUGGCAAUAAAAACAUACUAGUUGGAGAAAUUAUGGAAUUCUUAGCAGAUUUACUAUUUUUUCUACUAGGAGAAAA